rnacentral:rRNA from 1 species
GACGAACGCUGGCGGCGUGCUUCAUACAUGCAAGUCGAACGAGAAGCUAGAGCUUGCUCUAGUGGAAAGUGGCGGACGGGUGAGUAAUAUGUAGGAAAUCUGCCCUAGAGAGGGGGACAACAGAAGGAAACUUCUGCUAAUACCCCAUAUGAGCUUGGUUGAAAUACCAAUCUUGAAAACUCCGGUGCUCUAGGAUGAGCCUGCACCUGAUUAGCUUGUUGGUGGUGUAAUGGACUACCAAGGCGACGAUCAGUAGCUGGUUUGAGAGGAUGAUCAGCCACAAUGGGACUGAGACACGGCCCAUACUCCUACGGGAGGCAGCAGUAGGGAAUCUUCCGCAAUGGACGAAAGUCUGACGGAGCAAACGCCGCGUGAGUGAUGACGGCCU